rnacentral:rRNA from 1 species
UACAGAGGUCUCAAGCGUUGUUCGGAUUCAUUGGGCGUAAGGGUGCGUAGGCGGCGCGGUAAGUCGGGUGUGAAAUCUCGGGGCUUAACUCCGAAACUGCAUUCGAUACUGCCGUGCUUGAGGACUGGAGAGGAGACUGGAAUUUACGGUGUAGCGGUGAAAUGCGUAGAUAUCGUAAGGAAGACCAGUGGCAAAGGCGGGUCUCUGGACAGUUCCUGACGCUGAGGCACGAAGGCCAGGGGAGCAAACGGG